GAGGAACCUCCCCUGGCCG
rnacentral:tRNA from 1 species